GUGAGGAAUAUUGCGCAAUGGAGGCAACUCUGACGCAGCCAUGCCGCGUGCAGGAAGAAGGCGCUACGCGUUGUAAACUGCUUUUAACCGGGAAGAAACCCCAGGACGUGUCCUGGGUUGACGGUACCGGAGGAAUAAGCACCGGCUAACUUCGUGCCAGCAGCCGCGGUAAUACGAAGGGUGCAAGCGUUAUCCGGAUUCAUUGGGUUUAAAGGGUGCGUAUGCGGAGCGUUAAGUCAUUGGUGAAAUCCUGCAGCUUAACUGUAGACUUGCCAUUGAUACUGGCGCUCUUGAGUACGCUCGAAGUGGGCGGAAUGAGCCGUGUAGCGGUGAAAUGCUAGAUAUGGCACAGAACACCAAUUGCGAAGGCAGCUCACUAAGGCGAUACUGACGCUGAGGCACGAAAGCGUGGGGAUCGAACAGGAUUAGAAACCCUUGUAGUCC
rnacentral:rRNA from 1 species